AUGGCUGGUGAAGGCAUCUCGAUAGAUGAAUUUAUGGAGUACGACUCGAUAGUCAGGCAGACAUUUAAAAGUGAGAACGAAGCGUACAAGUUCUACUUAGGGUAUGCGAAGAGCAAAGGGUUUGGUGUUAGAAAGGGCGAUCUGAAAUAUAAGGGAAACAUGGAAAAUUCAUACCGGAGGACGUUUGUGUGCUGCAAACAAGGAUAUUGUGACGUAAAGCACUUUGAUCAAACCGACAAGAAAAGGACGCCAAGGGCACUCUCUUGGUGUGGUUGUCCUGCUCUUUUGCAGGUUGAGCUUCGAGCAAGCACUGGGUUGUGGUUUGUAAAGAAUUUUGUUGACUAA
rnacentral:rRNA from 1 species